AUUGAACGCUGGCGGCAGGCCUAACACAUGCAAGUCGAACGAGUGGCGGACGGGUGAGUAAUGUCUGGGAAACUGCCCGAUGGAGGGGGAUAACUACUGGAAACGGUAGCUAAUACCGCAUACUAUCGGAUGUGCCCAGGUGGGAUUAGCUAGUAGGUGGGGUAACGGCUCACCUAGGCGACGAUCCAUAGCCGGUCUGAGAGGAUGACCAGCCACACUGGAACUGAGACACGGUCCAGACUCCUACGGGAGGCAGCAGUGGGGAAUAUUGCACAAGGGGCGCAAGCCUGAUGCAGCCAUGCCGCGUGUGUGAAGAAGGCCUUCGGGUUGUAAAGUACUGUCAGCGGGGAGGCGUUACUCGCAGAAGAAGCACCGGCUAACUCCGUGCCAGCCGCCGCGGUAAUAC
rnacentral:rRNA from 1 species